rnacentral:rRNA from 1 species
UACGAAGGGAGCUAGCGUUGUUCGGAAUCACUGGGCGUAAAGCGCACGUAGGCGGACUUGUAAGUCAGGGGUGAAAUCCCGGGGCUCAACCUCGGAACUGCCUCUGAUACUGCAAGUCUUGAGUCCGGAAGAGGUGAGUGGAAUUCCUAGUGUAGAGGUGAAAUUCGUAGAUAUUUGGAGGAACACCGGUGGCGAAGGCGGCCCCCUGGUCCGGUACUGACGCUGAGGUGCGAAAGCCUGGGGAGCAAACGGG